rnacentral:rRNA from 1 species
GAUGAACGCUGGCGGCGUGCCUAAUACAUGCGAGUCGAGCGAACAGACGAGGAGCUUGCUCCUCUGACGUUAGCGGCGGACGGGUGAGUAACACGUGGAUAACCUACCUAUAAGACUGGGAUAACUUCGGGAAACCGGAGCUAAUACCGGAUAAUAUAUUGAACCGCAUGGUUCAAUAGUGAAAGACGGUUUUGCUGUCACUUAUAGAUGGAUCCGCGCCGCAUUAGCUAGUUGGUAAGGUAACGGCUUACCAAGGCAACGAUGCGUAGCCGACCUGAGAGGGUGAUCGGCCACACUGGAACUGAGACACGGUCCAGACCCCUACGGGAGGCAGCAGUAGGGAAUCUUCCGCAAUGGGCGAAAGCCUGACGGAGCAACGCCGCGUGAGUGAUGAAGGUCUUCGGAUCGUAAAACUCUGUUAUUAGGGAAGAACAAAUGUGUAAGUAACUAUGCACGUCUGGACGGUACCUAAGCAGAAAGCCACGGCUAACUACGG